ensembl:lncRNA
CAGAAAUUAGCACAUGAGCACAUUGCUGACAGAUUUGGCCACCUCACUACCUCACUCACAAGAGCCCAAAAAUAUAAGCUUGAGAGGCAGCAGCGAGAGACGGAGAGAUGGAGAGAGCGAGAGAGGCAUCAGAUGCCCAGUGAGAGGUCAGCUCGAUAUCAAAUUUUUUCGAAUAUUUCGCUGAAUACCUCCUGGCACUGUAAAUAUUUUUGACUACAGCCUGGUACUUUAGGGAAGCCAGUUCUCCCUGCACAGCUCUGCUGCACUUCUAGCCUUCCCAGAAAGAGAGAGAGAGAGAAGAAACAUCGCUUCAGGUUAUUCAUGGAUUGACUCUUCAAAUCCCAACAUAUGCUCCUCUGUUUCCCUUCCCAAGCACCGGGAGAAAUGGACCAUUUCCUCUCUGCAGCCUCCUCUCUACCACCCUGUCCGCUGCUCGCGAUGUAAAUCAGAGAGAUGCGAGCCAAUGCAACCCAAGCGCAUGUGGGGUGUGUGUGGGCUGCCUGAGUGAAGUUAAAGACCCCAUCCAGCAGCCUGUCAGUCCAUCGUGUGUGUGUGUGCAUGUGU